AGUCGAACGAGAAAGCAGGAGCAAUCUUGUGAGUAAAGUGGCGUACGGGUGAGUAACACGUGGAUUAUCUACCCUCUUGUGGGGGAUAACCCUGGGAAACCGGGGCUAAUACCGCAUAAGCUCGAGAGAGGAAAGCAGCAAUGCGCAGGAGGAGGAGUCUGCGGCCGAUUAGCUAGUUGGUAGGGUAAAAGCCUACCAAGGCUACGAUCGGUAGCCGGCCUGAGAGGGCACACGGCCACACUGGCACUGAAACACGGGCCAGACUCCUACGGGAGGCAGCAGUGGGGAAUCUUGCACAAUGGGGGCAACCCUGAUGCAGCGACGCCGCGUGAGCGAUGAAGCCCUUCGGGGUGUAAAGCUCUUUCGGCAGGGAAGAUUAUGACGGUACCUGCAGAAGCAGCUGCGGCUAACUACGUGCCAGCAGCCGCGGUAAUACGUAGGCAGCAAGCGUUGUUCGGAGUUACUGGGCGUAAAGGGUGUGUAGGCGGUUCUCUAAGUCUGGUGUGAAAUCUCCCGGCUCAACUGGGAGGGUGCGCCGAAAACUGGAGGACUAGAGUGCGGGAUGGGAGAGUGGAAUUCCUGGUGUAGCGGUGAAAUGCGUAGAUAUCAGGAGGAACACCUGUGGUGUAGACGGCUCUCUGGACCGCAACUGACGCUGAGACACGAAAGCGUGGGUAGCAAACAGGAUUAGAUACCCUGGUAGUCCACGCCCUAAACGAUGCAUAUUUGGUGUGGGCCAUUCAUUUGGUCUGUGCCGGAGCUAACGCGUUAAAUAUGCCGCCUGGGGAGUACGGUCGCAAGGCUGAAACU
rnacentral:rRNA from 1 species